CAUCACCCAUCUGUUUACAUGCUCUCCUAGCUAGCUUGCAGCCUGUCACAACCCCAACCUAACAUUUGCAGUUCAGCCAAAUUCAGUUUGGAGCCGCAUGGCAGCUCAGAUGAGGAAAGCCAAGACAUAAGUGGAUGUAUCAGAAUGGAGAGGAGCAGGGAGCUCGUGGCCCCACCCACCAUAUUUUCUAGAGUGGAGAAUGUGCUACGAGCACAGUAGCGACUGAAACCUGGACGCCGUUUCGCUCGCCUGUACAUCUCAGAGAGUCAGCCCAGAGCCAAUUUCCACCAGAACAACAGAGAGAGAUGCUAUAUCCAGGACUGUGGCGCUGCUGGUUGCCUCAGCAACAGCUAGAACCAGACGCAGGGAAACUUGGCUGUCUCCAUCACUCACGCACCAACGCUGGCGGAAGACAACGACCACUCGCAGCGAAACACCCCGAAACCCGGCGCUGGCCGCAGAAAUCUGCCGUUUUUGAGGAAAACCGCGGCAACAUUCGGACGUGUAUGCAACGCAAACGAUCAGCCUGCACAUCAGCGCAGGCGGCAGGCGUCACUUGUGCCAGCGCAGCAUCGCUGGAGGACAUUUGUUCAAAGCGGGGAGAAAGGAAACGCCACAUUCUGGCGUGUUCACACGGAACGACUGCGCCGCUCCGACACGGCUGCGCUCAGCCGCACACGCGUGCCCGUUCUAUGCAGGCAUGCUUUGCAACAUCUGUCAAUUCAUCCCAGUGUGACGUCCAAACGCAUGCGUCCCUCCUUCACCUCCUCGGCAUCUCUAAGAAGACGGAGUGAAUGCGGGGAUGGAGGGGGGGAUGAAAUGUCAUGGCAGGUACCUGUAAAUGAACCAGAUGCUCCUAUUCAAAGGGCCCAGCGACGGCCAGGAAGAAGAGAGGGAGAGGGAGAGGGAGAGAUCCUCCUCGCCGCAUGCCCCCAUCGCCAUUUCCUCCCCUCCCUCUCCUCCUCCUUCUCCUGCUCCUUCUCCUUCCCGUCUUCCAGCAAGACAGCAGCGAGUAAGAGCCGAGAGAAAGGAGAAGGAGGAGAGGAGGAGGAGGAAGAGGAGAGAGAGACGGAGGAAGGGAAAGGGAGAGGGCCAAGCUCUCCCAGCCCCUUCAUACUUAAGACAGAGAGGAGGAGGAGGAGGAGGAGGAAGAGGAGGACUGGGAGAGAGUGAGGGAUUGAGAUGGUUAGCAGUGACUGCGACACAGUGAAGGAGAGAGAGGAGCGGAGGGAGGGGAAGGAGUUUGAAGGAGUGAGAGAGAGAGAGGGGUUUGGAUUGGUUUGCAGGGGGCUUUAAAAAAAAAACCCUCUGAUAAAAAAAAUAAUAAAAUCAUGUUCUUGUGUUUUUAACAUGUAAUAGAGACAUUUCUCAUGAUGGAGAACAUGUAUGAAGUAAAUUCUUCUUA
rnacentral:lncRNA from 1 species